rnacentral:tRNA from 1 species
AGAGUAUAGCUCAGUGGUAGAGCACGUGUUUAGCAUGCAUGAGGUCCUGGGUUCAAUCCCCAGUACCUCUA